UGGAAGUAAAAGUCGUAACAAGGUCUCCGUUGGUGAACCAGCGGAGGGAUCAUUACCGAGUUUACAACUCCCAAACCCCUGUGAACAUACCUAUACGUUGCCUCGGCGGAUCAGCCCGCGCCCUGUAAAACGGGACGGCCCGCCCGAGGACCCUAAACUCUGUUUUUAGUGGAACUUCUGAGUAAAACAAACAAAUAAAUCAAAACUUUCAACAACGGAUCUCUUGGUUCUGGCAUCGAUGAAGAACGCAGCAAAAUGCGAUAAGUAAUGUGAAUUGCAGAAUUCAGUGAAUCAUCGAAUCUUUGAACGCACAUUGCGCCCGCCAGUAUUCUGGCGGGCAUGCCUGUUCGAGCGUCAUUUCAACCCUCAAGCUCAGCUUGGUGUUGGGACUCGCGGUAACCCGCGUUCCCCAAAUCGAUUGGCGGUCACGUCGAGCUUCCAUAGCGUAGUAAUCAUACACCUCGUUACUGGUAAUCGUCGCGGCCACGCCGUAAAACCCCAACUUCUGAAUGUUGACCUCGGAUCAGGUAGGAAUACCCGCUGAACUUAAGCAUAUCAAUAAAGCGGAGG
rnacentral:misc_RNA from 1 species